rnacentral:rRNA from 1 species
UACGUAGGGGGCAAGCGUUGUCCGGAUUCAUUGGGCGUAAAGAGCGUGUAGGCGGCCAGGUAGGUCGGUUGUGAAAACUGGAGGCUCAACCUUCAGACGUCGACCGAAACCAUCUGGCUAGAGUCCGGGAGAGGAGAGUGGAAUUCCUGGUGUAGCGGUGAAAUGCGUAGAUACUAGGCGAGGAACACCGAUGGCGAAGGCAAUCCCCUGGGCCUGCACUGACGCUCAUGCACGAAAGCGUGGGGAGCAAACAGG